rnacentral:lncRNA from 1 species
CUGCCCGACUAUCUCAUCCUUAGUACCAUCAUUUUUCAUUAUCAUCUAACCCUCCCCAGGCUGCUUUGCUGUGAAUCUCCAAACCAUGUAUAAAUGCAAGUCUUCUCAACUCUGGAACCUGCCAGACUAUCUCAUCCAUAGUACCAUCAUUUUACUUUACUAUCCGCUGGCAUUUCCCAAUAAUGACCAAAUUCUUUGUUCCCGUGAAUGUCCACUAACGGAAGAUUCUUCAGUAAAUGAAGAGAGGGACUAAAUGUGCAGUGCCUUCGCAGACUGGAACUCUAGACCUUCCGAUGCUAGCUGGAUGUGAUUUUCAUUUGCACCACUUAAACACGAGAAUCAAAAUAUUUGUAUCCAGCACUGGAAAGUACAGCCAUCUCCCGAGCAACCGGGGUACUUUAUGGAUUAAAUUAGUCCUGUCUAAAACGUACAUUAUAUUUGUUUAUUUUGCAGCUGUGAGAAAAUUACAGUACCAGUACAACAGCGUAAAAAUGCCUACGUAAAAUACAAAAACAAAGAGAAAUGUGUGAGUGUUAACAGCAACGAAAGCAAAUGUUUCAAAUCCUUGCAAUCCUAAAAAAAUGUAAACAAACUGUUGAUGGUAUUUUUUAUUAAUCAUAAUAUGGGCUAUUUCUCUUUGUUGUGCUUUUUUAACUGCUUUCGAACUAAUUGCGAUUUGAAAUUAAUCAUGGACGUCAUUCCAGGCAUUAUCUCAGUUAAACGGGAUUUUAGGUACAACGUUAAAUUAAUCGACAAAUAAAGGAAAGAUAAAUAUAACUGGUUUAGAAUUAACAUCCUGUAAUCCAUGACUUAAUUACCUUAUAAUAAUUUCCACGAAAUUAUUUUAAAUAUUAUUAAAAUAAAAGUGAUUAAAUGCAAGUUAACAUUUUUUUAUAUUAUAAGUGAAGAAACCUUUUCACAUAGGUUUAGACAAAGUGGAAUUAUUUAGUUUCUCAUUCUUUUCAUAACGCUUGCUUUAACUUUACUACUUCUCUUGGUCAAAGACUUCAAUAUUUGUGCUGUUUUUAAACUUUUUGUAUUCAUUUAUUUCCAGUUUAUGCACAAUGUUGAUUUCUGUUCCAUCUCGGUAAAAGUUACAAAGAGUCGUGAUUAAAUCUUUCCAGUGAGUAUUUUUAAACCAAAGAGAAAAAUAAAAAUCAUUGCAUUUAAAAAAGAGAAAAACGAAGAAUGUUAACAAGCAUAUAAGCUAGAUUAUAAGUCAUUAGUGCAGGUUCAUGAAAUUCUCUCAAUCAAUCUUUUAUCAGCCUUUGCGGAGAUAAAACUUGAUCUGUAAUUGCAAAUUAAUAAUUAAUAGUCCCAUCCACAGCCGUGACUGGAUAUUUCUUUACCUGAUGCAAACAAGAAAACGUAUGCCCCUGCGCAUCAACAAAUUAAGCAUAGUUUGUAGAUUUUCCGAUCGAAUAAUUUUUUAUUUAAAUUAGAGUAUAAUAAUUUUAACAAUACAUUUAGCAGUAACUUUUCAUAUGCAAUAAAUAAAUUUGUAAAAUUAUUCACAUUUAGGAAAAGAGUGAGAAAUUACUUGUCCUAAUAAUUGGUCAUAACACA